rnacentral:rRNA from 1 species
GCUAAGACUGGAUAGGAAGAAAUAAGGCAUCUUUUUUCUUUUAAAAGACCUAGUGAUAGGUAUACUUUAGGAGGGGCUUGCGCCAUAUUAGUUAGUUGGUAGGGUAAUGGCCUACCAAGACGAUGAUGUGUAGCUGGACUGAGAGGUUGAACAGCCACAUUGGGACUGAGACACGGCCCAAACUCCUACGGGAGGCAGCAGUAGGGAAUUUUCGGCAAUGGAGGAAACUCUGACCGAGCAACGCCGCGUGAACGACGAAGUACUUUGGUAUGUAAAGUUCUUUUAUCAAGGAAGAAAAGCAAGUGGUGAACCAUUUGUUUGCCGGUACUUGAUGAAUAAGCCCCGGCUAAUUAUGUGCCAGCAGCCGCGGUAAGACAUAAGGGGCAAGUGUUAUCCGGAAUUAUUGGGCGUAAAGGGUGCGUAGGCGGUCUAGUAAGUCAGUGGUGUAAUGGCAACGCUCAACGUUGUCCGGCUAUUGAAACUGCUAAACUUGAGUUAGAUAGAGGCGAGUGGAAUUCCAUGUGUAGCGGUAAAAUGCGUAAAUAUAUGGAGGAACACCAGAGGCGUAGGCGGCUCGCUGGGUCUUAACUGACGCUGAGGCACGAAAGCGUGGGAGCAAACAGGAUAAGAUACCUGGUAGUCCACGCCGUAAACGAUGAGUACUAAGUGUCGGGUUAAACCCGGUACUGAAGUUAACACAUUAAGUACUCCGCCUGAGUAGUACGUACGCAAGUAUGAAACUUAAAGGAAUUGACGGGACUCCGCACAAGCGGUGGAUCAUGUUGUUUAAUUCGAAGAUACCCGAAAAACCUUACCAGGUCUUGACAUGUUUUUGCGAAACGGUAGUAAUAUCGUGGAGGUUAUCAGAAACACAGGUGGUGCAUGGUUGUCGUCAGCUCGUGUCGUGAGAUGUUAGGUUAAGUCCUAAAACGAGCGAAACCCUUAUCGUUAGUUGCCAGCACGUUAUGGUGGGGACUUUAACGAGACUGCCAGUGAUAAAUUGGAGGAAGGUGAGGAUCACGUCAAAUCAGCAUGCCCCUUAUGACCUGGGCUACAAACGUGAUACAAUGGCUGUUACAAAGGGUAGCUGAAACGCAAGUUCUUGGCCAAUCCCCAAAAACAGUCUCAGUCCGGAUUGAAGUCUGCAACUCGACUUCAUGAAGUUGGAAUCGCUAGUAAUCGCGAAUCAGCAUGUCGCGGUGAAUACGUUCUCGGGGUUUGUACACACCGCCCGUCA